rnacentral:rRNA from 1 species
GAUGAACGCUAGCGGCAGGCUUAAUACAUGCAAGUCGAGGGGUAGCAAGAUUGUAGCAAUACAAUUGUUGACGACCGGCAAACGGGUGCGGAACACGUACACAACCUUCCUACAAGUGGGGAAUAGCCCAGAGAAAUUUGGAUUAAUACCCCGUAACAUAGCGAUGUGGCAUCACAUUGCUAUUAUAGCUUCGGCUCCUGUUGAUGGGUGUGCGGCUGAUUAGAUAGUUGGCGGGGUAACGGCCCACCAAGUCUACGAUCAGUAGCUGAUGUGAGAGCAUGAUCAGCCACAUGGGCACUGAGACACGGGCCCGACUCCUACGGGAGGCAGCAGUAAGGAAUAUUGGACAAUGGACGCAAGUCUGAUCCAGCCAUGCCGCGUGAAGGAUUAAGGUCCUCUGGAUUGUAAACUUCUUUUAUAAGGGACGAAAAAAGGUCUUUCUAGAUCGUCUGACGGUACCUUAUGAAUAAGCACCGGCUAACUCCGUGCCAGCCGCCGCCGUAAAAC